UCGGGAAUUUUGGGCAAUGGGCGCAAGCCUGAUCCAGCCAUGCCGCGUGCGGGAAGAAGGCCUUCGGGUUGUAAACCGCUUUUGUCAGGGAGGAAACGCUCUGGGCUAAUACCCCGGGGUAAUGACGGUACCUGAAGAAUAAGCACCGGCUAACUACGUGCCAGCAGCCGCGGUAAUACGUAGGGUGCAAGCGUUAAUCGGAAUUACUGGGCGUAAAGCGUGCGCAGGCGGUUAUGCAAGACAGAUGUGAAAUCCCCGGGCUCAACCUGGGAACUGCAUUUGUGACUGUAUAGCUAGAGUACGGUAGAGGGGGAUGGAAUUCCGCGUGUAGCAGUGAAAUGCGUAGAUAUGCGGAGGAACACCGAUGGCGAAGGCAAUCCCCUGGACCUGUACUGACGCUCAUGCACGAAAGCGUGGGGAGCAAACAGGAUUAGAUACCCCUGUAGUCCCUGAGCGGGCUGGCAAGGCGCAU
rnacentral:rRNA from 1 species